GUGUCAGCAGCCGCGGUAAAACGUAGGUACCGAGCGUUAUCCGGAUUCACUGGGCGUAAAGCGCGUGCAGGUGGUUUGAUAAGUCGGGCAUGAAAACUCUUGGCUCAACUGAGAGACGCUGUCCGAUACUGUUGGACUUGAGGGUGUAAGAGGGAGGUGGAAUUCCGCAUGUAGUGGUGAAAUGCGUAGAUAUGCGGAGGAACACCAGUGGCGAAGGCGGCCUCCUGGUACACUCCUGACACUCAGACGCGAAAGCUAGGGGAGCGAACGGGAUUAGAAACCCCAGUAGUCC
rnacentral:rRNA from 1 species